rnacentral:siRNA from 1 species
UGGAAGAAUAUGUAGGUAAUCC